UCACUACGGUACUGCCGGUCUUUAAGCCGGAGGAAGGUGGGGAGUGACGUCAAGUCAGCAUGGCCUUUAUGUCCAGGGCUACACACGUGCUACAAUGGGUGGUACAAAGAGAUGCCAACUCGCGAGAGCGCGCCAAUCUCAGAAAGCCAUCCUCAGUUCGGAUUGGAGUCUGCAACUCGACUCCAUGAAGUUGGAAUCGCUAGUAAUCGCGGAUCAGCACGCCGCGGUGAAUACGUUCCCGGGCCUU
rnacentral:rRNA from 1 species